UGAAUAAACUCUGUCUCUUUCUUUCAUCCAAACAUCAUGGAGUUCGUCUACAGCAUAGCAGAGACAGUCUUGGGAAGGCUAACUUCCUAUGCUUCCCAAGAAGUCUCCUUGGCAUGGGGUGCCAACCUUGAGCUCACCAAGCUCAACGAGACCUUAUCUGCCAUCAAAUUAGUACUCGAGGAUGCAGAGAAGAAGCAAGUGAGGAAUCCCCCAAUCACUCGUUGGUUGAGAAAUCUCAAAGAUGUUUGCCAUGACGUUGAUGAUGUCUUGGAUGAACUGGAGUUCCAAAAGUUGUGGUUGAACAUGGAGGUCGACAAUUGUGGGAAGAUCAAAGGAAAGGUACGCCAAUUUUUUUCCCCUUGGAAUCCAGUAGUGUUUAACUUCAAAAUGGGACAUAAAGUGAAAGAGAUUAGAGAACGACUGGUUGAAAUUGAUAAUGAAAAGAGAGAGUUUGCUCUCCUUGAGAUUGCUAAGAUAGUUGAAGAUCAUCGUGCGCCCCAAGGGAUGCACGAUAAUAAAAGAGAGACUGACUCUUUAGUGGAGCCUUCAGAUGUCAUUGGGAGAGAUGAUGAUAAAAAACAGAUUGUUAGUUAUCUCUUAAAUAACACUGAUAUCUCUAGUGGGGAGAAUGUUUCAGUUAUUUCCAUCCUUGGGUUAGGAGGGUUGGGAAAGACAACUCUCGCUAAAUUAGUGUAUAAUGAUAGCAUGGUAGAUGAGAAAUUUGAGAUGAAAAUGUGGAUAUGCGUCUCAGACAACUUUGAUAUCCAAACAUCAAUUCGCGGCAUUAUCAGUGCUGCAAUUAAACAAAAAUGUAAGGAUGAAAGUUUGGACCUUCUGAAAAGAAGAUUGCAAGGUACUUUGCGAGGUAGAAGAUUUUUGUUAGUGUUGGAUGAUGUUUGGGAUACGGAGUCAAUUGGAAUAACAAUUGAAAAAUGGAAUGAUCUAAAAGGCUUGCUAAAUGUGGGAGCUAGUGGAAGUAAAAUCAUCAUAACAACACGAAAUAGAUCAGUUGCUUUACUUGUGAGUCCCUUAUACAUGCAUUCUUUAGAAGGUCUUCUCCACAAAGAUUGCAUGUCCUUGUUCAUCCUAAGGGCAUUUAAGAAAGGAGAGGAGCAACGUUAUCCACAUUUGAUAGAAAUAGGACAGGAUAUUGUGAAGAAGUGUGGAGGAGUUCCUUUAGCGGUAACUACCGUAGGGAGCAUGCUCUAUUUGAAUACAGAGCAACACCAAUGGUUGCGUGUCAGAGAUGAUGACAUGUGGAGUAUAGGGAAUGAUAAUAUUUUACCUGCACUCAAAUUGAGCUAUGAUGCAUUGCCACAACACUUGAAACCAUGUUUUGCAUUUUGUUCACUUUUCCCAAAGGAUUAUGAAUUCAAAAGUGCAAUGUUGGUUCCACUGUGGACAGCACAAGGCUACCUCAAGACAUCUAAGAAAAAUGAAGAUUAUGAACAGAUGGGUGUAGACUAUAUAAGGGAGUUUUGCUCUAGAUCUUUGUUUCAAGUCGAGGGGGAUAUCAAAACAGCCAUAAUUUUUAAAAUACAUGAUCUCAUUCAUGAUUUAGCAAUUUCAGUGGCACGAGUAGAGUACUCCACAGUUAAUUGUCGUCCCUCUAGUGCUUUUGAAAUGGUUCGACAUGUGUCAAUAUCGGAAAAGGACUUGCUUGGAAAAGAGGUACAAGUUCCCGAUUUCAUACUAAAGUCAAAGAAAUUACGAACUAUUCUAGUUCUUAAAAAAUGUCAGAUGAGUCAACGUUUUGUGAAGACAUGCAUCUCGAGAUUUAAAUAUAUGCGGGUGCUAGAUCUCAGUGGGUCGCCUCUUGAGGAGCUACCAAGUUCCAUUGGUAGUUUGUUUCAUCUGAGAUAUCUCGACUUGUCUUAUAAUAGUAAGAUAAAAAGGCUUCCCAAUUCCAUCAGUAAGCUGCUGAAUUUGGAGACCUUGGACUUUCAGGAUUGCGACGCACUUGAGGAGAUACCCAAAGACAUAGGGAACCUGAUCAACCUCCGAAGCUUGCAGAUAACUACACAACAGACGUAUUUGCCAAAAGGAAUUAGACGCCUCACCUCACUUCGAUCUUUAUAUUUUGAUGGAUGUGUCAAUCUUAAAUCUUUGGGCGAAGAGAUCCAGUUCCUCAACAACCUUCGUACACUGAUGAUUAGCAGUUGUAAUAAUUUGGAAUGCUUGCCACCAAAUAUGAAAAACAUGACCGCUUUAGAUACUAUGGGUGUCGAUGAUUGCCCGAUGCUUCAGGUGAUGAUGAGAUCAGGGGAAGGUCCUCAACGUCUUCGAUCAUUGAUUAUCGAGAAAUCAAGUUUGGAGGCUUUGCCCCCUUGGCUCGUUGAAGAUUCUGCAGACACUCUGCAGAGCAUAGCACUUGGUGGAUGUCAUAAUCUCACGGCACUUCCGGAGUUGCUGAACUUCAGAUUCCUCGAGCAACUACACAUUCUACAAUGCUCCAAAUUGUCGGCUUUGCCGCAGGGGUUGCAUUGCCUUACUGAGUUGAGAGAACUGAACAUUGGAUGGUGUCCUGAAUUGAGCAAAAGCUGCAAAAGGCAAUUAAAAGGUGAGGAGUGGUCAAAGAUGGCACGUCAGGUGAAGAUUACACUCGACGCUGAUGAUGAUGAAGCCGACAAUCGCUUGGCCGACGGUAGGAUCGCGUACCACACGCGACGACGCCGUUAGUCACCUCAAUGAUGAAGGAGGAGUCCGCCUCCAAUGGGUCGCGUACCUCACAACGCGCCACCCGCGACGACGCCAUUAGUGACCUCAAUUCCUCGUCUCCAGGAAUGAGGUUUUCUAACGGUAGUGAAUUGCAACUCCAAUUCAGGAUUUGGCUUCCUGAAACUGCAUAAAGUAGAACGAAGAAAAUACUAAUUACUAUGGUAUACGAGAAUCUGAGUAUUGGUCCAGGC